rnacentral:rRNA from 1 species
UACGGAGGGGGCUAGCGUUGUUCGGAAUUACUGGGCGUAAAGCGCGCGUAGGCGGACCUGCAAGUCGGGGGUGAAAGCCCGAGGCUCAACCUCGGAACUGCCUUCGAUACUGCGGGUCUCGAGUCCGGGAGAGGUGAGUGGAAUUCCUAGUGUAGAGGUGAGAUUCGUAGAUAUUAGGAAGAACACCAGUGGCGAAGGCGGGUCUCUGGGCCGAUACUGACGCUGAGGAGCGAAAGCAUGGGUAGCGAACAGG